rnacentral:rRNA from 95 species
UUAAGUUAUUAAGGGCGCACGGUGGAUGCCUUGGCACUAGAAGCCGAUGAAGGACGUUACUAACGACGAUAUGCUUUGGGGAGCUGUAAGUAAGCUUUGAUCCAGAGAUUUCCGAAUGGGGAAACCCAGCAUGAGUUAUGUCAUGUUAUCGAUAUGUGAAUACAUAGCAUAUCAGAAGGCACACCCGGAGAACUGAAACAUCUUAGUACCCGGAGGAAGAGAAAGAAAAUUCGAUUCCCUUAGUAGCGGCGAGCGAAACGGGAAGAGCCCAAACCAAAAAGCUUGCUUGUUGGGGUUGUAGGACACUCUAUACGGAGUUACAAAGGACGACAUUAGACGAAUCAUCUGGAAAGAUGAAUCAAAGAAGGUAAUAAUCCUGUAGUCGAAAAUGUUGUCUCUCUUGAGUGGAUCCUGAGUACGACGGAGCACGUGAAAUUCCGUCGGAAUCUGGGAGGACCAUCUCCUAAGGCUAAAUACUCUCUAGUGACCGAUAGUGAACCAGUACCGUGAGGGAAAGGUGAAAAGCACCCCGGAAGGAGAGUGAAAUAGAACCUGAAACCGUGUGCUUACAAGUAGUCAGAGCCCGUUAAUGGGUGAUGGCGUGCCUUUUGUAGAAUGAACCGGCGAGUUACGAUUUGAUGCAAGGUUAAGCAGUAAAUGUGGAGCCGUAGCGAAAGCGAGUCUGAAUAGGGCGUUUAGUAUUUGGUCGUAGACCCGAAACCAGGUGAUCUACCCUUGGUCAGGUUGAAGUUCAGGUAACACUGAAUGGAGGACCGAACCGACUUACGUUGAAAAGUGAGCGGAUGAACUGAGGGUAGCGGAGAAAUUCCAAUCGAACCUGGAGAUAGCUGGUUCUCUCCGAAAUAGCUUUAGGGCUAGCCUCAAGUGAUGAUUAUUGGAGGUAGAGCACUGUUUGGACGAGGGGCCCCUCUCGGGUUACCGAAUUCAGACAAACUCCGAAUGCCAAUUAAUUUAACUUGGGAGUCAGAACAUGGGUGAUAAGGUCCGUGUUCGAAAGGGAAACAGCCCAGACCACCAGCUAAGGUCCCAAAAUAUAUGUUAAGUGGAAAAGGAUGUGGCGUUGCCCAGACAACUAGGAUGUUGGCUUAGAAGCAGCCAUCAUUUAAAGAGUGCGUAAUAGCUCACUAGUCGAGUGACACUGCGCCGAAAAUGUACCGGGGCUAAACAUAUUACCGAAGCUGUGGAUUGUCCUUUGGACAAUGGUAGGAGAGCGUUCUAAGGGCGUUGAAGCAUGAUCGUAAGGACAUGUGGAGCGCUUAGAAGUGAGAAUGCCGGUGUGAGUAGCGAAAGACGGGUGAGAAUCCCGUCCACCGAUUGACUAAGGUUUCCAGAGGAAGGCUCGUCCGCUCUGGGUUAGUCGGGUCCUAAGCUGAGGCCGACAGGCGUAGGCGAUGGAUAACAGGUUGAUAUUCCUGUACCACCUAUAAUCGUUUUAAUCGAUGGGGGGACGCAGUAGGAUAGGCGAAGCGUGCGAUUGGAUUGCACGUCUAAGCAGUAAGGCUGAGUAUUAGGCAAAUCCGGUACUCGUUAAGGCUGAGCUGUGAUGGGGAGAAGACAUUGUGUCUUCGAGUCGUUGAUUUCACACUGCCGAGAAAAGCCUCUAGAUAGAAAAUAGGUGCCCGUACCGCAAACCGACACAGGUAGUCAAGAUGAGAAUUCUAAGGUGAGCGAGCGAACUCUCGUUAAGGAACUCGGCAAAAUGACCCCGUAACUUCGGGAGAAGGGGUGCUCUUUAGGGUUAACGCCCAGAAGAGCCGCAGUGAAUAGGCCCAAGCGACUGUUUAUCAAAAACACAGGUCUCUGCUAAACCGUAAGGUGAUGUAUAGGGGCUGACGCCUGCCCGGUGCUGGAAGGUUAAGAGGAGUGGUUAGCUUCUGCGAAGCUACGAAUCGAAGCCCCAGUAAACGGCGGCCGUAACUAUAACGGUCCUAAGGUAGCGAAAUUCCUUGUCGGGUAAGUUCCGACCCGCACGAAAGGCGUAACGAUUUGGGCACUGUCUCAACGAGAGACUCGGUGAAAUCAUAGUACCUGUGAAGAUGCAGGUUACCCGCGACAGGACGGAAAGACCCCGUGGAGCUUUACUGUAGCCUGAUAUUGAAAUUCGGCACAGCUUGUACAGGAUAGGUAGGAGCCUUUGAAACGUGAGCGCUAGCUUACGUGGAGGCGCUGGUGGGAUACUACCCUAGCUGUGUUGGCUUUCUAACCCGCACCACUUAUCGUGGUGGGAGACAGUGUCAGGCGGGCAGUUUGACUGGGGCGGUCGCCUCCUAAAAGGUAACGGAGGCGCUCAAAGGUUCCCUCAGAAUGGUUGGAAAUCAUUCAUAGAGUGUAAAGGCAUAAGGGAGCUUGACUGCGAGACCUACAAGUCGAGCAGGGUCGAAAGACGGACUUAGUGAUCCGGUGGUUCCGCAUGGAAGGGCCAUCGCUCAACGGAUAAAAGCUACCCCGGGGAUAACAGGCUUAUCUCCCCCAAGAGUUCACAUCGACGGGGAGGUUUGGCACCUCGAUGUCGGCUCAUCGCAUCCUGGGGCUGUAGUCGGUCCCAAGGGUUGGGCUGUUCGCCCAUUAAAGCGGUACGCGAGCUGGGUUCAGAACGUCGUGAGACAGUUCGGUCCCUAUCCGUCGUGGGCGUAGGAAAUUUGAGAGGAGCUGUCCUUAGUACGAGAGGACCGGGAUGGACAUACCUCUGGUGUACCAGUUGUCGUGCCAACGGCAUAGCUGGGUAGCUAUGUGUGGACGGGAUAAGUGCUGAAAGCAUCUAAGCAUGAAGCCCCCCUCAAGAUGAGAUUUCCCAACUUCGGUUAUAAGAUCCCUCAAAGAUGAUGAGGUUAAUAGGUUCGAGGUGGAAGCAUGGUGACAUGUGGAGCUGACGAAUACUAAUCGAUCGAAGACUUAAUCAA